CAGCCGCCGCGGGAAUACAGAGGAUGCAAGCGUUGUCCGGAAUUAUAGGGCGUAAAGGGCUCGCAGGCGGUUUCUUAAGUCUGAUGUGAAAGUCCCCGGCCCAACCGGGGAGGGUCAUUGGAAACUGGGAAACUUGAGUGCAGAAGAGGAGAGUGGAAUUCCACGUGUAGCGGUGAAAUGCGUAGAGAUGUGGAGGAACACCAGUGGCGAAGGCGACUCUCUGGUCUGUAACUGACGCUGAGGAGCGAAAGCGUGGGGAGUGAACAGGAUUAGAUACCCCAGUAGUCCCUGUCUCUUAUAU
rnacentral:rRNA from 1 species